AUACUCUGGUUUCUCUUUAGACUGAAUAAAUAUUUUGCCUUUUACUAAAGGUUUACAUGGGGAGGAAUGACUGUGAGUCUUAACCCCUUAAGGACAAUGGGUGGUUCCUAAACCCAUU